rnacentral:rRNA from 1 species
AACGAACGCUGGCGGCAGGCCUAACACAUGCCAGUCGAGCGCGCCUUCGGGUGAGCGGCGGACGGGUGAGUACCGCGUGGGAAUAUGCCCUUCUCUACGGAAUAGUCCUGGGAAACUGGGGGUAAUACCGUAUACGCCCUUUGGGGGAAAGGUUUAUCGGGGAAGGAUUAGCCCGCGUUGGAUUAGGUAGUUGGUGGGGUAAUGGCCUACCAAGCCGACGAUCCAUAGCUGGUUUGAGAGGAUGAUCAGCCACACUGGGACUGAGACACGGCCCAGAAUCCUACGGGAGGAAGCAGUGGGGAAUCUUAGACAAUGGGGGCAACCCUGAUCUAGCCAUGGCGCGUGAGUGAUGAAGGCCUUAGGGUUGUAAAGCUCUUUAAGCUGGGAAGAUAAUGACGGUACCAGCAGAAGAAGCCCCGGCUAACUCCGUG